UACGUAGGGAGCAAGCGUUAUCCGGAUUUAUUGGGUGUAAAGGGUGCGUAGACGGGAAGACAAGUUAGUUGUGAAAUCCCUCGGCUUAACUGAGGAACUGCAACUAAAACUAUCUUUCUUGAGUGCAGGAGAGGAAAGAGGAAUUCCUAGUGUAGCGGUGAAAUGCGUAGAUAUUAGGAGGAACACCAGUGGCGAAGGCGUCUUUCUGGACUGUAACUGACGUUGAGGCACGAAAGUGUGGGGAGCAAACAGG
rnacentral:rRNA from 1 species